rnacentral:rRNA from 1 species
UACGAAGGGGGGCUAGCGUUGCUCGGAAUUACUGGGCGUAAAGCGCACGUAGGCGGCUCUUUAAGUCGGAGGUGAAAUCCUGGAGCUCAACUCCAGAACUGCCUUCGAUACUGAAGAGCUCGAGUCCGGGAGAGGUGAGUGGAACUGCGAGUGUAGAGGUGAAAUUCGUAGAUAUUCGCAAGAACACCAGUGGCGAAGGCGGCUCACUGGCCCGGUACUGACGCUGAGGUGCGAAAGCGUGGGGAGCAAACAGG